rnacentral:rRNA from 1 species
GAUGAACGCUGGCGGCGUGCUUAACACAUGCAAGUCGAACGAUGAAGCCCAGCUUGCUGGGUGGAUUAGUGGCGAACGGGUGAGUAACACGUGAGUAACCUGCCCUUGACUCUGGGAUAAGCCUGGGAAACUGGGUCUAAUACUGGAUAUGACUUCUCAUCGCAUGGGGGGGGGUGGAAAGAUUUAUUGGUCUUGGAUGGACUCGCGGCCUAUCAGCUUGUUGGUGAGGGAAUGGCUCACCAAGGCGACGACGGGUAGCCGGCCUGAGAGGGUGACCGGCCACACUGGGACUGCGCCACGGCCCAGACUCCUACGGGAGGCAGCAGUGGGGAAUAUUGCACUAUGGGCGCAAGCCUGAUGCAGCGACGCCGCGUGGGGGAUGACGGCCUUCGGGUUGUAAACCUCUUUCAGUAGGGAAGAAGCGAGAGUGACGGUACCUGCAGAAGAAGCGCCGGCUAACUACGUG